rnacentral:rRNA from 1 species
AACGUAGGUGGCGAGCGUUAUCCGGAUUUACUGGGCGUAAAGGGUGUGCAGGCGGGCUGUUAAGUGGUGCAUGAAAUCUCCGCGCUUAACGUGGAGAGGCUGUGCCAGACUGGCAGUCUCGAGUACGAGAGAGGGUUGUGGAAUUCCGGGUGUAGUGGUGAAAUGCGUAGAGAUCCGGAGGAACACCAGAGGCGAAGGCGGCAACCUGGCUCGUUACUGACGCUCAUACACGACAGCAUGGGGAGCGAACGGG